rnacentral:rRNA from 1 species
UACGUAGGGUGCGAGCGUUGUCCGGAAUUAUUGGGCGUAAAGAGCUUGUAGGCGGUCUGUCGCGUCUGCUGUGAAAAUCCGGGGCUCAACCCCGGACUUGCAGUGGGUACGGGGCAGACUAGAGUGUGGUAGGGGAGACUGGAAUUCCUGGUGUAGCGGUGAAAUGCGCAGAUAUCAGGAGGAACACCGAUGGCGAAGGCAGGUCUCUGGGCCACUACUGACGCUGAGAAGCGAAAGCAUGGGGGAGCGAACAGG